ACUAUAUCAUGCUGAAACUCCAAUUCUCGUACGUUCACCGGAGUUAAGCACCAUUGAGCCUGGUCAGCAACUAGAUGGGUGAUAACUUGGGAAUACCAGGUGCUGUAAG